rnacentral:rRNA from 1 species
GAUGAACGCUAGCGGCAGGCCUAAUACAUGCAAGUCGGACGGGAUUGGAGAGCUUGCUUUCCAUGAGAGUGGCGCACGGGUGCGUAACACGUAUGUAACCUACCUUGUUCAGGGGGAUAGCCUCUCGAAAGAGAGAUUAAGACCGCAUAACAUUGCGAUGUGGCAUCACAUUGUAAUCAAAUAUUUAUAGGAACAAGAUGGGCAUGCCGAACAUUAGCUAGUUGGUAAAGUAACGGCUUACCGAGGCUACGAUGGUUAGGGGAUCUGAGAGGAUGACCCCCCACACUGGUACUGGGACACGGACCAGACUCCUACGGGAGGCAGCAGUAAGGAAUAUUGGUCAAUGGGCGGAAGCCUGAACCAGCCAUGCCGCGUGCAGGAAGACGGCCCUAUGGGUUGUAAACUGCUUUUGCAGGGGAAUAAACCUUGGUACGUGUACCAAGCUGAAUGUACUCUGAGAAUAAGGAUCGGCUAACUCCGUGCCAGCCGCCGCGGUAA